AUACGGAGGGUGCAAGCGUUAUUCGGAAUCACUGGGCGUAAAGGACGCGUAGACGGGUUGGCAAGUCAGAUGUGAAAUCCUACAGCUUAACUGUAGAACUGCAUUUGAAACUGCUAACCUAGAGUAUGGGAGGGGGAGAUGGAAUUAGUGGUGUAGGGGUAAAAUCCGUAGAUAUCACUAGGAAUACCGAAAGCGAAGGCGAUCUCCUGGAACAUAACUGACGCUAAGGCGUGAAAGCGUGGGGAGCAAACAGGAUUAGAUACCCUAGUAGUCC
rnacentral:rRNA from 1 species